rnacentral:rRNA from 1 species
CACCGCGGUUAUACGAGAGGCCCGAGUUGAUAAGCACCGGCGUAAAGAGUGGUUAUGGACAACCAACGAAACUAAAGUAAAAUGCCCCCAAAGCUGUUAUACGCACCCGUGGGCCAGAAACCCAACUACGAAAGUGGCUUUAUCCAGCCUGAACCCACGAAAGCUAUGA